AAUACAUUACGGUAUCUGAUCCUGCAGUUUGAUGAAAACAUAGAAAACUCAAAUUCUCAUCAUAUCGUACUCUUUCAAAACAUUUUCAAACAAAAAAAUGUAUCACACUUGUACUUUAUCUCGAAUCGCUGUGUUUUCAAGUUGCUUAUUUUAUUAUUCGUUAACUCAAGCAGGUCAAUGGUGUUUCUUAUUAUGUACAAGAGUUUUUUCCAUUUUGAAAACAAAACCUGUGAAGGAAAGAUUCGGAGAAUGGGUUGUUAUAACGGGGGCUACUGAUGGAAUAGGAGAAGCUAUUGCAAAACUUUUAUACAGUAAAAACAUGAAUCUAUUUCUUAUUUCAAGAGAUCAGACAAAAUUGAACGAAACAAAAAAACGUAUCGAAAAAGAAAAAAAUAAUGGUGUUGAAAUGAUGAAUCAAAUAAAAGUAUUUGAGUUUGAUUUUUCCUUCGCUAAAUGGAAUUCAGAGAGAUUUGAACUGUUAAAAAAAGAGCUUGAGACUUUAAAUCUGGGGAUUCUGGUUAAUAAUGUGGGGUUAGGAUAUCCAUCGGCUCAGGAGUAUAAUGAACUUUCUCCAUCAUUUAUUGAUGAUCUUAUUUCGGUGAAUCUACGUUCAUGCCUUCAAAUGACGCGAAUGGUUCUACCUCAAAUGCGUCAACGUCGUCGGGGCGCUAUAUUAUGUAUAGGAAGCGGUGCAGGAUCUUUACCAAGUGAACCGUUGUAUAGUGGAUAUGUAUCUGUCAAAGGAGCCGUUUCAGCGUUUUGUAAUUCUUUGAAAGUUGAAUGUGUAAAGGAUAAUAUUUUAGUUCAAUGUCUCACACCUUUAUUAAUAACAACAAAACUUUCUAAAAUAAAGCGCCCAUCUUUUUCUGUACUAACUCCACAAAAAUUUGCUAUUGACGCUUUACAUUCAAUUGAGAACGAAUCGUCUUCCUCGUAUUGGACAACAGCUACACGGUGUCCUAGUUUUGUUCAUGAAAUUAUUUUACUUCUUUCUUCAAAAGUUGUUCCACUUGGAAUUUGGAAUAGAAUAAGAUUAUAUCAAACUCAAGAUCUUCGUCAGCGAUAUAUGAAUAAAACACGUUAAUUGUUUUAACACAAAGCUAAACUGUUGUCACUAAUAAUAGUUAAACGGACACAAUAAAGUGGAAACAUGAUUUCACUCCAGUGUUGUUUCUAUUGCAUCCAUAACUUGUUUAAAAAUCCACUGUAAUAGGUCGUAUUUCACCUUUCAAUAUUCGUCUCCAAGUCAAGUCUGUUGUCGUUACCUUUCCAUGUUUCAAAAAAAAGAUUUUUUGUAAAGAAAUCAUUUCAAUACUUACGUC